rnacentral:rRNA from 1 species
UACGAAGGGGGCUAGCGUUGCUCGGAAUCACUGGGCGUAAAGCGCACGUAGGCGGAUUUCUAAGUCAGGGGUGAAAUCCUGGAGCUCAACUCCAGAACUGCCUUUGAUACUGGGAAUCUCGAGUCCGGGAGAGGUGAGUGGAACUGCGAGUGUAGAGGUGAAAUGCGUAGAGAUCGGGAGGAACACCAGCAGCGAAGGCGGCAAACUGGAUAGGAACUGACACUGAACAACGAAAGCGUGGGUAGCAAACAGG